ACUCCUACGGGAGGCAGCAGUGGGAAUAUUGCACAAUGGGAAGCCAUCGAUGCAGCCAUGCCGCGCUGUGUGAAUGAAGGCCAAUUCGGGCUUGGUUAAAGACACUUUUCAGCGAGGAGGAAAGGGUGUAAGUUAAUACCUUACAUCUGUGACGUUACUCGCAGAAGAAGCACCGGCUAACUCCGUGCCAGCAGCCGCGGUAAUACGGAGGGUGCGAGCGUUAAUCGGAAUUACUGGGCGUAAAGCGUGCGCAGGCGGUUUGUUAAGCGAGAUGUGAAAGCCCGGCUCAG
rnacentral:rRNA from 1 species